rnacentral:rRNA from 1 species
UACGAAGGGUGCAACCGUUGCUCGGAAUUAUUGGGCGUAAAGCGCACGUAGGCGGUAUCGCAAGUCCCAUGUGAAAGCCCACGGCUUAACCGUGGAAGUGCAUGGGAAACUGCAGUACUUGAGUACUUAAGAGGAUCGCGGAAUUCCCGGUGUAGAGGUGAAAUUCGUAGAUAUCGAGAGGAACACCGGUGGCGAAGGCGGCUAUCUGGACAGUGACUGACGCUGAGACGCGAAAGCCAGGGGAGCAAACGGG